rnacentral:rRNA from 1 species
AUUGAACGCUGGCGGCAGGCCUAACACAUGCAAGUCGAGCGGAUGAGUGGAGCUUGCUCCAUGAUUCAGCGGCGGACGGGUGAGUAAUGCCUAGGAAUCUGCCUGGUAGUGGGGGACAACGUUUCGAAAGGAACGCUAAUACCGCAUACGUCCUACGGGAGAAAGCAGGGGACCUUCGGGCCUUGCGCUAUCAGAUGAGCCUAGGUCGGAUUAGCUAGUAGGUGAGGUAAUGGCUCACCUAGGCGACGAUCCGUAACUGGUCUGAGAGGAUGAUCAGUCACACUGGAACUGAGACACGGUCCAGACUCCUACGGGAGGCAGCAGUGGGGAAUAUUGGGACAAUGGGCGAAAGCCUGAUCCAGCCAUGCCGCGUGUGUGAAGAAGGUACUUCGGAUUGUAAAGCACUUUAAGUUGGGAGGAAGGGCAGUAAGUUAAUACCUUGCUGUUUUGACGUUACCAACAGAAUAAGCACCGGCUAACUUCGUGCC